AGCUUCUCGCUUAUAAAGAGAGGUGAUUUCUGCCCGGUGAUUAAUUAAACGGCCGCAGUAUUUUGACUGUGCUAAGGUAGCGUAAUAAUUUGCCUUUUAAUUGAAGGCUAGUAUGAAUGGGAUAACUUGAAAUCUAUUUUCUUAGAAUAUUCUUUUGAAGUUGCAUAUAAAUUGAGAAUGAUUUAAUUUUUUUGAUAGACGAGAAGACCCUGUCGAUCUUUAUUGUUUAUUUUUAUUAUUAGUUUGAUUUAUUCAAUUAUAAUUAUAAAUAAGUUAGUUGGGGCGACUAAGGAAGUAAUGUUAAUCUUCCUUUAAAUAUAUGAAGUUUUUUUCUUAUCUUUGAGCCAUAAAUAUGAUUAACAGAUUAAGUUACCGCAGGGAUAACAGAGUAAUAAUUAUGAAGAGUUCUUAUCGAUAUAAUUGUUUACUACCUCGAUGUUGGAUUAAGAAAACAGUGAGGUGUAGCAUUUUCACUAGUAAGACUGUUCGUCUUUUGAUUUCUUACG
rnacentral:rRNA from 1 species